UACAGAGGGUGCGAGCGUUAAUCGGAAUUAUUGGGCGUAAAGCGCGCGCAGGUGGUUCCUUAAGUCUGAUGUGAAAGCCCACGGCUCAACCGUGGAGGGUCAUUGGAAACUGGGGAACUUGAGUGCAGAAGAGGAAAGUGGAAUUCCAAGUGUAGCGGUGAAAUGCGUAGAGAUUUGGAGGAACACCAGUGGCGAAGGCGACUUUCUGGUCUGUAACUGACACUGAGGCGCGAAAGCGUGGGGAGCAAACAGG
rnacentral:rRNA from 1 species